AUUGAACGCUGGCGGCAGGCCUAACACAUGCAAGUCGAGCGGAGCGGCGGACGGGUGAGUAAUGCCUAGGAAUCUGCCUGGUAGUGGGGGAUAACGUCCGGAAACGGGCGCUAAUACCGCAUACUAGCAGAUGAGCCUAGUUCGGAGUAGCGAGUUGGUGGGGUAAAGGCCUACCAAGGCGACGAUCAGUAACUGUUCUGAGAGGAUGAUCAGUCACACGGUAACUGAGAGACGUUCCAGACUCCUACGGUAGGAAGCAGUGGGGACUAUUGGACAAGGGGGGAAAGCCUGAUCCAGCCAUGCCGCGUGUGUGAAGAAGGUCUUCGGAUUGUAAAGCACUUGAAGUUGGGAGGCGUUACCAACAGAAUAAGCACCGGCUAACUUCGUGCCAGCAGCCGCGGUAAUUC
rnacentral:rRNA from 1 species